AGACUGCUGUGCUAGCAAUCAGCAAGACUCCGUGGGCGUAGGACCCUCCGAGCCAGGUGUGGGAUAUAGUCUUGUGGUGCGCCGUUUUUAAAGCCGGUCUGAAAAGCGCAAUAUUCGGGUGGGAGUGACCCGAUUUUCUAGGUGCCUCCGUCACCCCUUUCUUUGACUCGGAAAGGGAACUCCCUGACCCCUUGCGCUUCCCAGGUGAGGCAAUGCCUCGCCCUGCUUCGGCUCGUGCACGUUGCGCACACCCACUGGCCUGCGCCCACUGUCUGGCACUCCCUAGUGAGAUGAACCCGGUACCUCAGAUGGAAAUGCAGAAAUCACCUGUCUUCUGCGUCGCUCACACUGGGAGCUGUAGACCGGAGCUGUUCCUAUUCGGCCAUCUUGGCUCCUCCUCUAUCUACACAUCUUUGAAAGGUCUUCCUCUUCUCCACUGCUUUUGUCGAACGUGUUCAAAAGGAUUUGAAACCAACUAUUGGAGGAAGAAAAUCAAUCACUCUCCUUUGUCUCCUAUUGGGACCACUGCCCCACCCCCCCCAACAAAAGGAUAAAUUCCUGGAAAGUGUAAAGGGAAGAAAGCCCCUCCAUUGGGAAAUAGGUUGGUGUCAGGCUACUUGCUUGUCUGAUUCUUCACAAUGAUAAAGGCCAGCAGAGAAAGUUCAGUGCAAAAGUUCAUCAGCCACCAGGCCAUCAGGAGCAUCUAUUGAUCAAAUCAAAUGUUCACUUCAAACUGCGUUUCUUAACCUGCAGGUGUAGAAUCACCCAUAACAGAUACAGUCACACCUAUCUCUGCACAUACUUGUACGUUCAGGACAACCUGAUGUAUUACAAUUAACAACAUGGUGUCAGUACUGCAGAAGGAUUCACUUGUAUAAAAUAUCCACCAGAGAAAUCGCCUGGAAGUUACUUUCUAAUCUCCUUGACUCUUCCUCGGUACCUUGUGGAAUAGAUGUGGGCUGGUAAGAGGUCUCCGACAGCUGGUACGUUGGCAAGGUCGGCAUGGCAGUGGGAGGGAACCCCCCGGGAAUGAGAUGGUUGAAAGCCAUCAGUUGAUUGGCCCCAGCUUGCUUCCUCCAUCUUGCACGGCGGUUGCUAAACCAGACCUAUGGAUUUAAUUUAAAAUUUAAGGAUUUCACUGAUGAAAUAAUAGUACAUUCUUAAUGAAUUUUUUAUGCUAAAACAGAUUAGAGGCUUCUUACUGAAAGGGCAAAUAGAUGCAAGAGUUCUCUGCCUUCUGUGUUGUUUGGGCGAAUUGUCAGGAGUAAAAGAAGAGUUUAGUGUCAAAGGGGUAUAGCUUCUGGAUGGUCAUAUAAAUUGAACAGAGGAUAAGUGGAGCCCUUUUUUCAUCUCUUCCAAAAUAUGAAACAUUGCACUGAUCUCGGUGGAAAUAAAUGCCAAAGAGGUUCUCCCAGCCUUCCAAUCACUGCUGCUAUCCAACUUUGGCCACCAUUUGGAGAGCAGGUUGGAAACAGGAUGGGCAAGAUUGAACAGGAGGAAGGCCAUGCUCCCAUGCAUGUGAAAAGACCAUGGACACACACAAAAGCACACUCAACUGCAUCUUGAUACCUCCCAAAAGCAAACUCCUGCAGAGAACUUCAGGAUGAACAUAUGUUUGCUUCAUUACGGAGCUUAGGAUAUUCUAUACCUAUCUGAACUUCUGAACUAUACAGAUCAGUUAGACGGCUUCAAAUCAUCAUGGUGCUUUUUUAGGAAUUCCAAAUUACUGAUGCUAUAAGGAUUCUGCCAUAUUCUCAUUCCCUUUCUCAUUCCCAAGGGUCCUGAGAAAUUAUGCAUUUGGGUCAUUCCCAAAAUGCAUGAUUUCUCAGGACCCUUGGGAAUCACCAUUGUUAUUUUUUGGGAAUCCUAAAUUACUGAUGCUAUAAGGGUCCUGAGAAAUCAUGCGUUCUACUAGUUUUUAAUUUGGGCAUGGGAGAAAGGUAUUUGAGCACAUAAUGAAAGCCAGAGGCCCUUUCUCUAGUUAACAGUUGUAUAUACACAUACACAAGCAAAGGAGCAAAAUUUUGUGUACAAAUCUCAAAUCUCCCAGAUCUCCUGAAGUCCACCCAUGAUUAUCCUGGUGGGGCAUGAACCCCAGCUGAGAUCAUGUGAUCUAACCAACCCCAUAUUUUUUUAAAUUAAAAAAAUUAAAAACCUGAAGUCCAAAAGGAUUCCAGCAAGAUUAAGUAACUUGCUCAACAAAACACAUUUGUCAACUGGGAACGAAACCCAUAUCAUCUGACUCCUAGUUAAAUUCUAUUUCCCCUAGUAACUUGUUUUUCUGUCUUCCAUUGUCUUCGUGGUAAAACAGGAUGUUACUUGCCUACUUCAUGGGAUUCUUAGAUGGAAUAUUUACUAAAACUUUUGCACAUCAUAAAUAUUUGGGCCAGACAUAGUGGCUUACACCUGUAAUCUCAGCACUUUGGGAGGCCAAAAAAUAGGAGGAUUACUUGAUUCCAGGAGUUUGAGACCAGCCUUGGCAACAUGGUGAAACCGCAUCUCUACAAUACAAAAAUUAGCUGGGUGUGGUGGCACAAGCCUGUAGUCUCGGCUACCCAGGAGACUGAGGCGGGAGGAUCAUCUGAGCCCAGGAGGCAGAGGUUGCAGUGAGCAGAGAUCGCACCACUGUACUCCAGUGCACUCCAGCUCAGGCAACAGAGUGAGACCCUGUCUCAAAAAAUAAUUAAUUAAUUAAUAUUUGCAAGUAAUUCCUCCCCACAAAACUUGAAUGUUUGUCAUUAUUUGCAUGAUAUUAAUAACAGCUACCCUCAUUACAGAUGAAUUAGGCAAAUCAUCUUUUUUAAAAAAAAAAAAAACCUUGUAGUGUUAUUAUUACUAGGCAAAUAGUCGUUAGUAUACAACAGUUCUUACAUUGUGUACUCAGAUUUGGUUAUGAUAAACUCAACACAGCUACAGCCUAAAUGAAUUUAUAUAAAACACUGACAGAGGCUAAAGUUAUUAUAGCUUUAGUCCCAUUUCUAUUUAGAAGAGUGUAGAAAUAUUUUUCCUCAGGAGAAAAAAAAUGAAAUGUAGACAUGAUUUGGGGUUUGGGGGGUGUUUCGUGUUUGGUUUUCCCAGGUGCCCCAAAUUAAACUAACUCACACUUUCUGGCUAUCACUCAAACUGAGUUGACUUGGCUACUGCUUUCCCAGAUCCUCUAAAAACUAAAGGAUUUUCUUCUGGCAUUUUAAUCAGUGAUUAACUACUCCCUUCUUUUUCCUGCUGGGUUAAGUAAAAGAUCCAUAUGCUGGGUGUUCUAGGGAAUUUGUUAGGCUAUAGAUCACAGCCGUGGUGCCAGCCAUGAUGUGUCUCAAGGGAACUAAAGAAGCCAUAAGGAAUGUCAAGAGUCACCGGGUUAAAGCCACAUUAAGACAGCUGUUACGUUAAUGAAGGCCCUGCUUCGAAGAGGAGGUCACUAUAUGGAAAAGUAUGAACUACUGUUUAUUGGUUUGAUCCCAUGUCCUCUGAAAGUUAAUGGGCCAUUAUUAUUAUCCUUUGACAUUCAUUGAGCCAGAUGAGAAUGCUGGGUGCUGUACAAGCUACAUGGGUUUGAAAUAUAUUCUGUCUCCAUCCUUAGUUUUGACAAAGGCAGGAAUGAAAGAGAACAACACCGAACACUCCUCAGUUUUCCAUCACACUCCUUGUCUGAUCUAUUUACAAUAAAUGUUUAUUUUUCCUUACUCACAUUGAGUUCAGAGCUGAUACUCGGCCUAUUUUAAAAAUAGAUCUAGUGCCAGUGGCUCACACCUGUAAUCUCAACACUUUGAGACGCUGAGGAGGGAGGAUCACUUGAGUCCAGGAGCUCAAGACCAACCUGAGCAACAUAGCAAGACCCCAGCUCUACAAAAAAAUAGAAAAAUAAUUAGCCAGACAUGGUGGCACACAUCUGUAGACCCAGCUACUCUGGAAGCUGAGGUGGAAGAAUCACUUGAGCUUGGAAGAUCGAGGCUACACAGUGAGCCAUGAUUAAGCCACUGUACUACAGGCUGGGCAACAAAGUGAGACUCUGUCUCAAAAAACAAACAAACAAACAAACAAAAAAGCAGAUCUAGUAGGUGGGCUUGGCCAGUUACAGAGGACAGGUACCAAAUCCUGGAAUAUAGUGGCCACUCAAAAGAGGCAUGAUUGGACCUCACAUAACAUUUGCAGGUAAUUGCAGAACUAUAAUAAAAGCAAAGUAGAUUUGAAACAUAUUAUUUAUAACAUUGUUAUAUAUAAUAUACUAUUAUAUGAUUUAAUUUGUCUGCCCUUUUGAUUGUGAUACAGAUUUUUUCUCUGCACUGUUAUAUUAAUAUGCAUGUUAAUAUCAUAACAUUGAUAUAGUAAUAUUAAUGUUAUGUUAAUAUAAUAUUUAUAUAGUAUUAUAUAAUAUUACUAUAUCAAUACUGUAUUAAAAUAUUUUUCUAUUGAAAUAUUAUGACUUAGUUAAUAAAGGUUAUUUCUACACUGUGUGGUGGGGAGAAACACUCUGUUUCCCAAUGAUAAUAGGUUUCCCAACUUUAAAACACCAGCUCUGUGAACCUUGGUCUAUCUACAACUCUUCCUUUCACUCACCUUCCUCCCCACUUCUAGAUUACACAAUCGGUUGUCCAUUCUACCUCUGAAUACCUUCACCACCAUCUCUUCCUUGCCAUUCCCACUGCCACUACCUAUCUCAUGCCAUAGCCCCCACUCCCUGUCACAUCAAAUGUGAGCUCACUGGCCUGAAACCCAAGACCUCCAUAGGAUAUCCUCAGCCUACCUACCAAACCCUAUUUCUUCCACCACCCUACCACUCCUUACAUUCUAAUCAAACUAACUAUUCUCCCAAUAUGACUAGAGUGAAAAAGAAAGGUUAUCUUACGUGUAGCCCACCACUUCUACCUCUCUGUGCCUCUGCUCAUAUAAUUCCCUAUUACUAAUAUACUCUCCUUAUGCACCUGGUCCAGUGAAUAUCUAUCUAGCCCGGAAAGUUCAUCUUAAAUCUGCCCUCUGGGCCCAGCACAAUGGCUCAUGCCUAUAAUCCCAGCACUUUGGGAAGCCAAGGCAAGUGGAUCGCUUGCACCUGGGAGUUCAAGAAGAGCCUGGGCAACAUGGCAAAAUCCCAUCUCUUCAAAAAAUUAUCCAGGCAUAGUGGCAUGCACCUGUAGCCCCAACUAUCUGGGAGGCUGAGGUGGGAGGAUCACCUGAGCUCAGGAGGUGUAGGCUUCAGUGAGCUGUGAUUGUACCACUGUACUCCAACCUGGGCUACAGAAUGAGACCCUGUCUCAAAAAAAAAAAAAAUUAAAUCUGCCUUCUUCAUGUACCUCUCUUCAUUCCUUCAAGAUCUCAUCCCUUGAGUUCAUGUCCUUUGCAGGGACAUGGAUGAACCUGGAAACCAUCAUUCUCAGUAAACUAACACAGGAACAGAAAACCAAACACUGCAUGUUCUCACUCAUGAGUGAGAGUUGAACAAUGAGAACACAUGGACACAGGGAGGGGAAAAUCACACACCAGGGCCUGUUGGGGGGUGGGGGGCUAGGGGAGGGAUAGCAUUAGGAGAAAUACCUAAUGUAGAUGACGGGUUGAUGGGUGCAGCAAACCACCAUGGCACGUGUUAUACCUAUGUAACAAACCUGCCCCUUCUGCACAUAUAUCCCAGAACUUAAAGUAUAAUUUUUUAAAAAAAGGUUGGGCAUGGUGGCUCAUACCUGUAAUCCCAGCACUUUGGGAGGCCAAGGCGGCCAGAUCACGAGGUCAGGAGUUCGAGACCAGCCUGACCAACAUGGUGAAACCCCAUCUCUACUAAAAAUACAAAAAUGAGCCGGGCCUGGUGGCAAGCACCUGUAAUCCCAGCUACUUGGGAGACUGAGUCAGGAGAAUCGCUUGAACCCAGGAGGCAGAGGUUGCAGUGAGCUGAGGUUGUACCACUGCACUCCAGCCUGGGUGACAGAGUGAGACUCCACCUCAAAAAAAAAAAAAAAAAAAAAUCUCAUCCUUUCCUCUUCUCAACUCCCAUUGCACUUUUUCUCUUUCUGCACUUAUCAUGUCUGUGUUAUUUUUAAAUUAUUUGUAUGUUUAUUUUUUUACCUUUCUUAGAUUGCAACUCCUUCAGAGAACUGUCUUAAUUGAUCUUAGCAUUCCUUGACUUUCCUAGCACUAUGAUGAUCAUAUGGAAGUUUGAAGAAAACAAUCUCUCUGACUGAGCUCUGCAGCCUGGAAGAGGCUAUUUCUGUAAAAUUCUGUAAUAGGAGAGUUAAUUAGCUGCAUCUAUGAACGUGUUGAUCAAUCUAGGGACCAUGUCAACUGACUAGUCCACUGCUGAGUCCCCAGCCUGCAAAUUAAGAAUCUGGAAAUAACACACAAUAUUUGCAGACAAGGUGACUUAACUUCUAGGGUGGUGAGGAGUUCGAGGAUACCCUACGAUAUCUGCCAUCUUUCAAACACUGUUUUACUAGCUCCAGGAAGUAGUUCUUCAUUAAUGAUGAAAACAUUAUUCUAUACUCUAUAGAAACAUAUUACAUCUAAGUAGCCUUUCCAGAAGGUUCAGAGCACCUCUAAGAGUUCAAAAGAUAAUUCAACAUGUUCUUUAAGUAAUAUAAUUUCUUGAAAUGCUUCUUAAUUAUAAAAUCGUUAAAUGAAGGAAUUUCAUGUUAUGCACCUUUGCACAUUUUCAUAAUUGAAAGGUCACAGAGAUGAAGCGUAUGGGAUCCAAUUAUCUCUAGACUCACUUUGCAGCUAUGCCACCUUGGGUAGUUACUUAUAUAGUCCAAGUCUCAGUUUCCUUAUUUGUAAAUGGAGAGUAGCAAUCAUGGUACCCACCUAGGAUUUUAAUAAUGAUUCAAUGGGUUAAUUCAUGUGAAGCACUUAAAAUAGUGGCUGGGACAGAGUAACCACUCAAAAUUUAUUUGCUCUUACUUGUGUAUCACCCCCAAAGUCCAUAUAGUGCUGGUGUACAAUAAGGAUUCCUGAAAAGUUGAGUUAGUCACAUGAAGUGGUGGACUUCUGUGUGUCGUAAAUGAUAUAGUUGUAUUCUGUCAGUAAAUAAUCAAAGUCCUAACAAUAUGCAUCCCUAGUAAAGGGCCAUUCCUAAUACAUUUUUGGGGGGGAUUGACAUAUGUUUUAGAUGAGAAGAUGCUUGUUUGUUUCCUGUCUGGACUGAAGUAGGACACGGAG
rnacentral:lncRNA from 10 species